GACGAACGCUGGCGGUGUGCUUAACACAUGCAAGUCGAACGGUAAGGCCCUUUCGGGGGUACACGAGUGGCGAACGGGUGAGUAACACGUGAGUAACCUGCCCUCAUCUCUGGGAUAACAGUCGGAAACGGUUGCUAAUACUGGAUAUGAGCUUGCAAGGCAUCUUGUGGGUUGGAAAGAUUUUUUUUGGUUGGGGAUGGACUCGCGGCCUAUCAGCUUGUUGGUGAGGUAGUGGCUCACCAAGGCUUCGACGGGUAGCCGGCCUGAGAGGGCGACCGGCCACAUUGGGACUGAGAUACGGGCCAAACUCCUACGGGAGGCAGCAGUGGGGAAUAUUGCACAAUGGACGGAAGUCUGAUGCAGCAACGCCGCGUGCGGGAUGACGGCCUUCGGGUUGUAAACCGCUUUCAAUUGUGACGAAGCUUUUUUGUGACGGUAGCAGUAGAAGAAGCACCGGCUAACUACGUG
rnacentral:rRNA from 1 species